ensembl:lncRNA
UGGGAAUCUCAUACUUCGGCUCAAGUACACCAGGAAGACGUCGGAAUCCCGUACUAUCUACAGCUGACAGCGGUUGGUCAUCAAGAGCAGUGAACGGGGUAAGAGCUCCGGUUAUCGUCACUGCCCGUGGGUUGUCUCUGGACAUUUUCUCUCGCUUCUCCAGCGUUUGCUGCAACCUUGCUUGUCGCUGUUUCCCGCUGCUAGCAUUAGCAAACUCUUCGCACUCUGCGUUAAUGUUUGUUCUUUAGAUGUUUAAACAGAUUGCUCGUGUUAAAUGAGCUAUUUUUUACCCCUCCCCUUGACAGUUUAGCAGAGCCGAGUUUGCAGUCUGCUCUACUUUUAUCAUCAUCAUCACUUAUCUUAAGAUAUCUCCAAAUUGCUGACAUCGCUCCUCUUCCGACUGCCUGCUCAACUGACGAGAGGAUAAACCAACAUGAAGAUCAGAGAGCUGUCUAUGGAUGAAAAUCAAGCCAUUUUGAAGCAGA